rnacentral:tmRNA from 1 species
GGGGACGUAUGGCUUCGACAGAAGUGUACGUUCAGUACCUCAAGCAGAGCCAUCAGCUCUCUAAAACUGAUAAAUGUUCCAUCAUAAAUGGCAACAUCAUUAGUAACGUUAAGACAGGAGUACAGAACCUUGUCAGCAGCCUAACAGCAGCUGUACAACCAAUGUAUCUCUUUGCUUAAUCUAGUCAACAAAUAGACUAGCGGUCCAUGCUCAACCCCUGUUGCGAGCAUGAAACCGGUCAUUAACAGGGUGUAAGCGAAUGCGGUUCUUAUCACACCUCUUCGCCCAAACAAAAAGUUGAUAACCGUUGAGCUUUUUUGCUUAGUCUUUAGGCUCAUCGGCUAAACAGGCUAAGCAACGCUUGUACAAGGGUGCUGUUCCGAGCUUACUGGACGCGGGUUCGAAACCCGCCGUCUCCAUUA